rnacentral:rRNA from 1 species
AGACAGAGGGUGCAAGCGUUGUUCGGGAUUACUGGGCGUAAAGGGCGUGUAGGCUGUACGGCAAGUCGGGUGUGAAAUCCCAUGGCUUAACCAUGGAACGGCAUUCGAUACCGCUGAACUAGAGUCCGGGAGAGGGAAGUGGAAUUCCCAGUGUAGAAGUGAAAUUCGUAGAUAUUGGGAGGAACACCAGUAGCGAAGGCGACUUCCUGGCCCGGCACUGACGCUGAUACGCGAAAGCGUGGGGAGC